rnacentral:rRNA from 1 species
CAGCCGCCGCGGGAAUACAGAGGGUGCGAGCGUUAAUCGGAUUUACUGGGCGUAAAGCGUGCGUAGGCGGCUUCUUAAGUCGGAUGUGAAAUCCCUGAGCUUAACUUAGGAAUUGCAUUCGAUACUUGGAAGCUAGAGUAUUGGAGAGGAUGGUAGAAUUCCAGGUGUAGCGGUGAAAUGCGUAGAGAUCUGGAGGAAUACCGAUGGCGAAGGCAGCCAUCUGGCCUAAUACUGACGCUGAGGUACGAAAGCAUGGGGAGCAAACAGGAUUAGAUACCCCAGUAGUCCCUGUCUCUUAUAC